GGGCCGCUAGCUCAACUGGACAGAGCAACGGGCUUUUAACCCGCAGGUUCGGGGUUCGAGUCCCCGGCGGCCCA
rnacentral:tRNA from 1 species